AUCCUCUCACGAGAACCAGCUUCUAAGCCAUGAUUUGCCAGGACCUAAAGACCUUCCAAUAGGCUCACCUCCUAGACACCACAAUUGGAUCAAGCCUCUCAAGCCUCCAACCAUCAAUUCACAACUUUGGCACUUAGCGAAAGCUAGGGAACCAAAUCAUGUUUAAACUAAGGCAAUUGCUUAAGUGAUUAACUGGUCUUUAUCUCAAGGAGAAUUUCAAUCACUUUUACUAAACUCUCUUGAAUGAUCAAUGUUCAAGAACAACCUCUUAUAAAUAAUUCUAUAGAUGGGGUCUGAUUUAGGAGCAUCUUGAUUCAUACUUUUAAAAAUCAGAGUCCUUCUUAUACCUACUACCUAAGAAGCAGAAAUGACAUGGUUGGCCAUAAUCUUCCUAUUGACGUGAAUUUUAUCAUUAAUCUCAUAUCGGUUAUAAGAAUGAAAAAAGCAUAAAGUAUAGAAAAUUUCCUUUCUAACCUCUGACUAUGUUAGCAAUAUAAAAAUGACUUAUCUGUGUCAAAUAGAUGCAAAUCUCUUUUCUAUUUUUUGCCUUUUUUCAUAUGCUCAGCUGAAACCUUCAUCUCCUGAUUUCAUUUACCUGUGUAAACAAUUAAUAAAUAUUUGUUGAUGAAUAAACUAUGUGUACUGAUAUGUACAUAUACAAAUACAUUUAGUCUCACUUAGUUUACAAAAUGGUCCAGUGAUUUGACAAGUACUCAAAAGAGAGGGUCUUCUGCAUUCUUACUUAACUUCUUGUUCCUAUAGGCAUCCAUAGACAGACCAGCCUACGAAACUGACAGAUUUUGAUGGUAGUUAUGGGUUGUGAAGUGACAGCUAUAGGUCAGGCCCUAUGAGGGAUAACCCACUUCAAAGGAAUUUAUAUUAUCUUCCUUUAAAGGAAUAAUAUAAAUGCAGAACAAAUCUAAAUUUUAGAAGAUGUGCAGAGAUGACAUCAAACUGUGUUUUCUCUGUAGAAAUGCACUUCUGUACCACAUCUAAAGGAGGAUGGAUGAGCUAAGAUUAUUACUACUAUAAAUACAGACAUAUUAGAAAAAUUCUUCUCUGUGCACCAAUCUGGCAACAACUAAUGUGCUAAUUACAUCAGAAGUGUAGGAACUUGUGAUCAAACAAAUUUUAAUUAAAAUUCUGACUGCAGCACCUCCUGGCUGUGUGACUCAGGGAGAGCUUUGCCUGAACUCUAUAAGGUUCUGCUUCCUUACUUUACCACCUGAGCCCCAGAGGUACUGUGAGUUUAGAGUGACAGAGAAUAUUGCUCUGGAAAUCUGUGGAAGUUAUGACGAAAUGGUUUUUCUUUAUGGAUGUAUUCUUUGACUUUAUAAAGACCUAUUUCCUUGCUUGGAGUGACAGAGUCAUUGUAAGUGGAUCUUUUCCUCAACUCUGGAGCAUUGUGAUGAGUCUCCAAGCCAGGCGCUUCCUGGAAAGGAGGAGGAUUGUAGGUGAUUAGUGGAGAGGCAGGAGGGUGUGAGAACUCCUCAUCUUUCUCAGGUGAUGCCUGCUUUUUCUCUUUAAAAACUCCUUUGUGAAUUGGGACCUGGUUUUUCGUGCACACCAAUAUUCAGCAGAGUGGAGAAAAUAUAUGAGAUCAUGUUGUCCGAUCUAUUGGCUCUUCAAUCCAGAUAAAGCCUUGGACAUAUAAGGAUAAUAAAAUAAUAUUUUCAUUAUCUCAUUAGUCUUCAAAAGAUAGGCUCAGCAUUUCUUGUCCAAGUUGAUUGAGAUUUAAUCUAGACGAUGCUAUGCAAGUUAAUUUAUGUACAGGUUUUAAAAGUGAUAUUAAUACCUUUAAUAAGAGGAAUGAGACAUUCAUUUCUUUAGUAUGAUUCAGUUGGCCCUCCAAGGACUACCAUGAGUCUUGGUUUGGUGGAAUUAUUUCCUAAAUAGUCAUGCCAUUUCUUAAGUACCACAAUGAGAUAUAAGAUAUUGGCAGAGAAGUGCUCCCAAUGGAGAAGUUUCAUGUUAAACAUAUGGUCCUGGCGCCCCUUAGUGUACAAAAGGAUCAUUACAAUUAUAUCUAUAAUUGUCCCAGUAUUCUCUGAGUGUGAAUCAACCUCUAUGUAGCUCUAUGAGAUGUUAAUAAUAAUAACAAAAAAUUUCCCAACAUGUAGGUUCUAAGAAGAUAACUGUAUCAUAAUUUCCUUUAUGAUGCAUUUAAUAGUCUUUAUGCUGUUUCACAUUGUCAGGCAUUUCCAUUCAUUAAACCAGUAGAUUUAAUUUUAAUUGAGGAUUUCUUAAUGGUAUAUUUUCUAGUUAUUGUGCUAUGCAGGUAAACUGGGAUAAAAUCACUUUCCUCAAUGUUCAAACAUGGCGAGGUUGCCCUUGGUAUGCAGGGGACAACAAUACUCCAGAUGGAGACUCCCCUGUGCCCCAGAAGGAGAAUGAAUGUGUGGAGAGACCCCAGCUGAGCUGCGUGGAAAUUGAGUGAGAAUGCCACAGCAGAGAGCUGGAUUGGAAGUGCAGCAGUUGGGACUUGAACCAGCGCCUAUAUGGGAUGCCGGCAUUGCAGGCAGCGGCCCAUCCACUACACCACAGCGUCAGCCAUGAGAUAGUAAGAUAUUAAUUUUAGUUAUAUUGUAAGCUUCUAUUAAUUAUAUAGGUCUAAAAUAUCUUUUUAUAUGUUCAUUUUAUUAAUUUAUUCAUCUUUAUUUAAAAUAAGCUGAUAAAUGAGCUUAUUAAAUGUUUUAUUAACUUUUUAUUUCUUGGAAGCAAGGAAAAAUGGAAAAAAUAUACAGGUAGUUUAAAUACCUAGACUGUAUAGCAUAAUCAAGUGAUGUCAUAAUAUGUUAAAGAGGACACAGUUCUCUGAUGACAACAUCAUGUAAGCUGGGAGGAGUACACGUGGCUGAGUGCUGUGUGGAAAGAGGGAAAAGAUACUGAUCCUCCUCAGCUGAUACAAUUGUGAUGCAGUUAUGUUAAGAAGACUCCAAUCAAGGAGACGGUGAAAAGAGCCAUCAUCCUCUGAUUUCUCUUACUUAUUGCUUGCUCCUGAAAAAGAGAGAUGCUUCCAGUCGCUGAUGGGCUAAGAUCUCAUAAAACCAUGCGUUCCAGGAAAUGCAUGAAGAACCAAGGGACUGGCCUACUGCUACCCCUUCUACACAUCUCAGUUUCUCCUUCACCAUCCUCUGUGGCCAGAGGGGAGUGGCCAGGGAUGCCAUAGGCUCGCACAGGAUGACAGAGGGCAGCAGUCCAGAUUGGGCCUCAGUCUGAAAAGUGCAUGGCACAGACCCUCAGUUGCUAGUGUCACAGAGACGUGGAUGCCCCCUGAAAACUCAGCACUCCAUUGUAAAACUUCAUCUGUCCAGAGAAAAAUAAAAACACAAUGCUUUCAUUUA